rnacentral:lncRNA from 1 species
ACACAACCUUUCCAAAACAUCAAAUAGUUCCACAUGAUUAUAAAGAGAAGAAGAUAAGGGAUUAAUUAAAUAAAUGUUUUUUUCAAUUACUUUUUUUUUUUUUUUUUCCUGAAAGUGGCUUCCUACUUAUAAGGACCCUAUCACAGGCAAUGGCAGUGCUACCAUCCCAGUAAUACAGACUUGGAUAUCUGUGCCUAACACCAUUAACCAUCAUCUGAAUCAGGCU